rnacentral:rRNA from 1 species
AGUGAACGCUGGCGGUAGGCCUAACACAUGCAAGUCGAACGGCAGCACAGUAAGAGCUUGCUCUUACGGGUGGCGAGUGGCGGACGGGUGAGGAAUACAUCGGAAUCUACUUUUUCGUGGGGGAUAACGUAGGGAAACUUACGCUAAUACCGCAUACGACCUACGGGUGAAAGCAGGGGAUCUUCGGACCUUGCGCGAUUGAAUGAGCCGAUGUCGGAUUAGCUAGUUGGCGGGGUAAAGGCCCACCAAGGCGACGAUCCGUAGCUGGUCUGAGAGGAUGAUCAGCCACACUGGAACUGAGACACGGUCCAGACUCCUACGGGAGGCAGCAGUGGGGAAUAUUGGACAAUGGGCGCAAGCCUUAUCCAGCCAUACCGCGUGGGUGAAGAAGGCCUUCGGGUUGUAAAGCCCUUUUGUUGGGAAAGAAAAGCAGCAGGUUAAUACCCCGCUGUUCUGGCGGUACCCAAAGAAUAAGCACCGGCUAACUUCGUG